rnacentral:misc_RNA from 1 species
UCCUCGUUUAAGCGAGGCAGUCUGUCCAGAGUGCUCCGAACUCUCGUUCGAGUGGCAACAGGACAUAAGGGUUGCGCUCGUUGCGGGACUUAACCCAACAUCUCACGACACGAGCUGACGACAGCCAUGCAGCACCUGUGCACGGACUCCGAAGAGGGGCCGAUGUUUCCACCGGCUUUCCCUACAUGUCAAGCCCAGGUAAGGUUUUUCGCGUUGCAUCGAAUUAAUCCACAUCAUCCACCGCUUGUGCGGGUCCCCGUCAAUUCCUUUGAGUUUUAACCUUGCGGCCGUACUCCCCAGGCGGUCGACUUCACGCGUUAGCUUCGUUACUGAGAGUGUCAAACCCCCAACAACCAGUCGACAUCGUUUAGGGCGUGGACUAC